GUUUAGUUAGUUAAAAAAAAAAAAGGGGACCAGCAACUAAGCUUCUCUUUUUCAAGAACGAAAAAAGUACAGCAAGUAUUUAAGAAUUCAAUGGUUCAUUCAUUUCAACUAAGCAAAGAGAGAAAAUUUCUUUUGGACAAAAAAUGAGGCUCUCGGCCAUGGCUGCUUAGCCGAGACUUGGUAUGAUCAUGGAGAAGUAUUAAAGUGUCAAGUUGUGGUGAAGAUUCAAGUAGUUAGCAAGAUUAAGAAGUCAAGUGUAUGAAGGUAAAAUUUGAUCUUCUUUUUACACGUUUAGGAGGAUUUUAAACUUGUUUAAUUUGAUAAAGGUGUGUUGAUAUGAAUAUAAAUUGAAUCCAUGAAAUUAUGUGUGUUGAUGUUGAAGCAUGGUUGAAGCCGUGUAGAGACUGUUUGGUGUAGAAGGUGAUUAUCUACCUAAUAAAUACGUUAUGUACAAAUAUACAUAUAUUAUGUGCACGUGUGCAGCAAGUAAAUUCCCAUUCCAUGCACUUAUGGGUGAGGUGGAAAUAUAAGUGAUGAAUUGCUAAGGGGAAGCUAGGGUGGUGGCACGUGUAUAAAGGGUUGGACCCCCACAGCCCAUUUCACAAGAGACAUACAUAUAUACGGAGUGUGCAGCAUGUUUGUGAAACAAACAUUUCACAAGAAAAUCAGCAAACGCAUAUAUAUAUGCAUAGACACGAUCUGCCAUGGAUAAACAAAAUUCACAUGCGGAAGCAAAUUAUGGGGGAGACGACAUAUAGGUCAUAAACACGCCAGUUUCCUCCGGAUGAUAGCAAAUUAGAGAUUUCUUCAAAGUGAAGUAAGGUGGAAGAAGAUUAUUUCUUGGUAUAUAAGGUUUAUCAUAUUAAUUGUGGAAGUUCUUGGAUGGACUGAGCUCUUGAACGACGUGAGGUAUGUAAAGUUGUCCCUUCUUUCUUUUGGCAUGUCCUAGACGUAAGGGAUGAAUGACAUGAGCUUUGGGGUAAUUCCAUUCAUAAGUUCCGAAUAUGAUUCAUGAUUCUUAUUACUUCUUGAUGUUAGAGCUUUUAAAGUAGUUAAGCCACUGCCCUCGAGAUUUCUAUAUGUUGUAUAGUAUAAUCGUAUGUAUAAGUCUUUAUUCCUAAAGGCUCUAUAAUGACUAAUGUCCUUAACUUUCAUAAGCUGUCUCGUAUUGAUUUGAUACCUGUCUAUGAUCCCUGAGACGUUAUUUAAUAUAGUUCAUAAUGAUAUUCAAAGAGCCACUAGGAUGGCUAAUGUUCUUGAUUUCCAGAAACUAUUUUAUUAUGUCUUGAUACGUGUAUAUAAUCCUUGAGGUUCUAUUUUUAUAUAAUCCACAGCGACAUUCAAAAGGUAUUUGAUAUGACUAUUGUCUUGGUUUUCAAAUGAUGAUUCGUUUUGAUUAUUCUAUUGAGUCUCAGAUAUGAUUUAAUUUGCAUAUGGUUUCUCACUACUCUGCUCGUGCAUGCCUCAAUACAUCUUUCACUGAGUCCCGGGCCAGGACAUGUUUUCGUGCACAGAUCCACUGCAUUAUUCACUGAGUCCCUCACUAGAGGGCCGGGACACGUUAUAUAUAUGUAUAUGAUGAUAUGAUGACGUGAUGAUAUGAUGAUAUGGGGAUGGCGGCCAGGAUGGCACAUGAUGAUCUUAUUCACCGAGUCCCUCACUAGAGGGCCGGGACACGUUAUAUAUAUAUAUACAUGAUGAUGAUAUGAUUUUAUUUACCGAGUCCCUCACUAGAGGGCCGGGACACGUUAUACAUAUGCAUAUGAACGGGAUGAUUCUCUAAUGGUGACAUUAAGUUUCAUAACGAGUUAAGUCUGAUAUUGACACCCUGAUUUAUGAUUCAAAGGUAAGCCUUGUGGUUUUUUGGUUAUUGUACUGGUUUUCUGUACUCCUCGCCUCAGUAUGAUCCUGUUUAUUGUAUUUAUGCUUUACAUGCUCAGUACAUAUUCCGUACUGACCCCCUUUCUUCGGGGGGCUGCGUUCAUGCCCGCAGGUACAGAUGCUCACGUUGGUAACCCGCCAGCUUAGGAGUCCUAUUCAGCUAUCUUGGAGAGCUCCCUUGUUCCGGAGCCUAGAUUUUGGUACAAAAUAUCUUGUGGUGUAUAUGUAUUUUAUCCAGGGGUACGGCGGGGCCCUGUCCCGUCAUAUGAUACUGUUGUUACUCUUAGAGGUCUGUAGACAUAUGUGUGGGUUGUGUAUGGGUUUUGUUCAGCUGUGUCUAUAUGAUGACGCUGUGAAACUUCAGAGUUCUUUUGUAAAGUUCCAUAUUGUUCGUAGUUUCAGUUUGAUUAUAUAUGAUAGGUAUGUAUACGGGUGUCCAGGUCGGGCACCAGUCACGGCCUACGAGAUUAGGUCGUGACACAUAAGAUGAUAAUAUAAUUGAACCAAUAUGAGGGUUAUAGGAAGUGUUUUGAAAACUAAUCAAGUCAUAAGAAAUGUUUUUGGGCAAAGCAAAGUUGGAAGCCACUCUACGGGGCAUGUUUGCAAGUGAGUUUGUAGAAGGUCUUACUUCUAACGACCAUAACCCCUUUAUUAAUUAGGAUUUGGGAAAACUUCCUAAAUGAAAUUGUAACCCUUUGAAAUACCUUUCCAACAGUAUAUUAUGGGGGUCAAGGGGACAU